rnacentral:rRNA from 1 species
AUGUUCAACAACAUAGUCUCGACGUGGAACAAGAGGAGGAGAAGCAAAUCGCUUGACCAGUUGAAUCCUUGGGUGUACAAGACGGCCGAGCUGUGGCAGGUGAAGGAGCCUCUGCCGCUGCCGGCGCCGAGGAAGCGCAACUGCUCCAUGGUGUUCACCCUCAAGGAGAUGGAGGAGGCCACCGGCAUGUUCAGCGACAAGAACCUCAUCGGCAAGGGCGGCUUCGGCCGGGUUUACAGGGGCGUGCUCAAAGACGGGCAGAUCGUGGCCAUCAAGAAGAUGGACCUGCCGACGGCGAAGCAGGCGGACGGCGAGCGGGAGUUCCGGGUGGAGAUCGACAUCCUGAGCCGGCUGGACCACCCCAACCUGGUGACGCUGAUCGGUUACUGCGCCGACGGGAAGCACCGGUUCGUGGUCUACGAGUUCAUGCCCAAGGGCAACCUGCAGGACGUGCUCAACGGCAUCCGCGGCGAGGUGCGGAUGGGGUGGGGGCAGCGGCUGCGGAUCGCGCUGGGCGCCGCCAGGGGGCUCGCGUACCUGCACUCCACCACCGCCGUCGGCGUCCCCGUCGUCCACCGGGACUUCAAGUCCAGCAACAUCCUCCUCUCCGACCACUUCGAGGCCAAGAUCUCCGACUUCGGGCUCGCCAAGCUCAUGCCGCAGGACCUGGACCUGUACGCCACCACCAGGGUGCUCGGCACCUUCGGCUACUUCGACCCCGAGUACGCGCUGACGGGGAAGCUGACGCUGCAGAGCGACGUGUACGCGUUCGGCGUCGUCCUCCUGGAGCUGCUCACCGGCCGCCGCGCCAUUGAUCUCAGCCAGGGGCCUCAAGACCAGAACCUCAUCGUCAAGAUACACCAGAUGGUGGGCGACCGGAAGAAGCUGCGCAAGGUGGUGGACAGGGACAUGGGCAAGGGGUCGUACACGCUGGAGUCGGUGUCCAUGUUCGCGGGCCUCGCCGCGCGCUGCGUGUGCUUCGAGAGCGCCGGCCGGCCGGCCAUGCAGGACUGCGUCAAGGAGCUCCAGCUCAUCAUGUACGCCAACAUGAAGAUAUGA